rnacentral:rRNA from 1 species
UACGUAGGGUGCAAGCGUUAAUCGGAAUUACUGGGCGUAAAGCGUGCGCAGGCGGUUAUGUAAGACAGAUGUGAAAUGCCCGGGCUUAACCUGGGAACUGCAUUUGUGACUGCAUGGCUAGAGUUUGGCAGAGGGGGGUAGAAUUCCACGUGUAGCAGUGAAAUGCGUAGAUAUGUGGAGGAACACCGAUGGCGAAGGCAGCCCCCUGGGAUGACACUGACGCUCAUGCACGAAAGCGUGGGGAGCAAACAGG